ACGGGGUGCAGCAGGCGCGAAAACUCCGCAAUGCACGAAAGUGUGACGGGGCUACCCCGAGUGCCAUCCGCUGAGGAUGGCUUUUCCCUGGUAUAACUAGCCAGGGGAAUAAGGAGAGGGCAAGACUGGUGUCAGCCGCCGCGGUAAUACCAGCUCUCCGAGUGGUAGGGAUGAUUAUUGGGCUUAAAGCGUCCGUAGCCGGCUUAGCAAGUCUCCUGUUAAAUUCAGCGACCUAAUCGUUGAGCCGCGGGAGAUACUACUAGGCUAGGAGGCGGGAGAGGUCGACGGUACUUCUGGGGUAGGGGUGAAAUCCUAUAAUCCCGGGAGGACCACCAGUGGCGAAGGCUGUCGACUAGAACGCGCUCGACGGUGAGGGACGAAAGCUGGGGGAGCGAACCGGAUUAGAUACCCGGGUAGUCCCAGCUGUAAACGAUGCGGGCUAGGUGUCGGGGUGGCUACGUGCCACUUCAGUGCCGCAGGGAAGCCAUUAAGCCCGCCGCCUGGGGAGUACGGCCGCAAGGCUGAAACUUAAAGGAAUUGGCGGGGGAGCAC
rnacentral:rRNA from 1 species